GCUUCGGCAGAGAGAGCAUCUGUGAGCCAAGUUCACCGGUGCUGGGUUUUAAGAUUGUAUUACUGAUGAAGAUUGUGGUGAGAGAGAAAUUUUAAGGAAUAAUUUAUUGAAAAAGCCACAAGGAGAAGAGCCACGAGUGACACGUGGAGGAGUCCCAGAGGCUUAGUGGUAUAGAUCCACUGUCUCUUUUGGGUAUUUAAUUUAUGAUUUAUAAUGUGUUAUAUUGCCAAUAUUAGGACUUUUUUUUAUUGUCAAUUAUAUGAAUAUAUAAAUGUAAUCAUGCCUUUCAAACUAUUUCUAUUUUUGGUACAAUUUGGAUGACUGUAAUUUUAAUAUUUGGUUUACUUUGGAUUGGUUAAAAUGGGAUGAUUAUAAGGCCAAAUAACUGGCUUGUGUUGAAAAUUUAUUAAAUUGCUUAUUUUACUUGUUGGGAGUAUAAGUAUGGACAAAUGUGAUUUAGUUUACUUGUUGGGAGUAUAAGGAUGGACAAAUAUGAUUUAGCCUAAUGG